ensembl:misc_RNA 7SK 7SK RNA
GGAUGUGAGGGCGAUCUGGCUGCGACAUCUGUCUCCCCAUUGAUCGCCAGGGUUGAUCCGGCUGAUCUGGCUGGCUAGGCGGGUGCCCUUCCUCCCUCACCGCUCUGCUCCAUGUGCGUCCCUCCAGAAGCUGUGCUCUUGGUCAAAGAGGACGACCAUCCCGGAUAGAGGAAGACCGGUCCUUGGUCAAGGGUAUACGAGUAGCUGCGCUUCCCUGCUAGAACCUCCAAACAAGCUCUCAAGAAUCACAUCGCCCCAUUUGUUAGGAAAUGGAAAGACUUGGAAAAAUGUAUACUGUUUUUUAUUUCUAUACCUUUUGUCUCAUAUGUUAGAUUAUCUGAUUUAA